UUUUCUCAUCAGUUCUGAGCUCAGGACUGUGUGUCUCACAGCUUAAUCUGUACUUUAAUCCUUUUUCAUCCUGAAAUUCCAUCUUUAUAUUCAGAAUAUCUGAUCAAGUCCUUUUAAUUGUCCAGGAUGUUUCCUGUGUGAUGUGAUGACACAUCUUCCUGGUUUUACACUCAGGCUUCUGAAAGAGAACCGAUUUACCUGCAGGAACUUUCUACACAGGUAAAACUCACAUCGAUGAUGUCUAGUGUCUUCGCUCUGUAAAGAAUUUGGAUUUCUACAUGUAAAUCAGCUUGAAAGCGUCAGUGUCAUUGUCACGUCUUCGUCAUGUUAUCGCACCGCCCCACGUAGAGACAAAAACUAUUCACUUCCUUCAUGUCCACCAUUAGAAGAAUGCACACGGCGGCUCCUGAAGGUCAAAUAGAAUGAAGGUAAUGUUGAUGAACAAUUAGAAACAUUCCUGUAACCUGAUUUUCUGCUAGAGAACAAUGCUAAUUGUUGACCAUGUCAAUAUAUUUGCCCUCACAUGGAUGUGUUUUAAAAGGACAUCGUCAUCAUCAGACCCGGACACUUUACUGAGCUCUUUACGGUCCAUAAAUCCACAUAAUCUGAGCAUCACUCUGAAUCCCAGUUAUUCCAGUAUGGAGAGUUAUAGUGGUUCCUUCCACUUCCUGCAGUGUGACCGUCUCGUCUCCAGCUUCACACAGUAAACCUGCAUCACAGCUUCAGCUUCAUCAUUUCACUCACAAACAUCAUCACAUCCUCAUCACAUGAAGUCCAUUAAAACUACACUGUGAUACAGAUCUGUGAGUGCAGAUGAUGCUGCAUUUAGACCUGAAAAUGCACAAACUUUACAUUUCAUAGAAUCAGAUUUGUUCUGUAGAAAAUAUAUUAUUAUUUACUACAGUAGUGCAUCUAAGACCAGAUAUGGUAUAUUAUGAUAUACAUUGCCUUGCAAAAGUAUUCACUCCCUUAAACCUCAUGAGAUUUUUAUGAUAAAUGAAACACAGAUUAUUUGUCAGGGAUUUUAUUCCAAAAGCUUUUAAAGAACAUUUAAAAAGUCAAAACUAAUUUAUUUGUUUUGUGACAUUUGUUCUGCUAAAAGGAGAAAUGUUGUCCAAAUAUCUGGGUUUUUCUUAGAAGACUGAAGGUAUUUAUUCUAAAAAUUCCUUCUUUCUUCAGUUUUGACAUCCUGACUCCUUCAGGUUGACUGUUGGCCUCACUGUUGGCCUCCAUCACAGUCUUUGUCUAGAUAAUGCUUGUGUAUGUGGUGUGGAUGUAGCUUCCACUUCCUCACUACUGAGGUCAGUGGGAUGUCCAGCAAAUUGGAUAUAAUUUUACACCCUGUUCCAUCCUAUUAACUGAUCUUUUGUUCUUUCUUAGAAAGCUCCUUCAUUUUCACUUCUUUCACUCAGACUGACUGUGUCUUCAAUGGAAACUCAAUAAAAGUGGUUUUUAUUCAGAAAAUUAGAGCUGUUUUAAUAUUUCAGAGGUGAAAGACAAAUUUAUGUAAAAUGUUUUCUGGUUAAAACAAUAUCUUUUACCUGAACUUUAAGAUACUUUGGCAUCAGUAAUUAAUUGUGACUGAAAAUAGACUGUAAGAGAACAUGAGUGCAAUGAAAAUACUGAGAGGAAUAGUAGAUACAUUAUGAAUAGAUUCAUCAAAAAUUAUUAUGUGUAAUUCUCACAAACCUGACCAAUUCCAUGGGGUAAAUAAUUUUGCAAGUACUUUUGACUGUAUAUUUAAAGUUAUUUUUACUUAAAAAUGAAAAGAGGAUUUACAAUUAAAAAAUAUCAAAAGUAAAACUGA